UACAGAGGUUUCAAGCGUUGUUCGGAUUCAUUGGGCGUAAAGGGUGCGUAGGCGGCGCGGUAAGUCGGGUGUGAAAUCUUGGAGCUUAACUCCGAAACUGCAUUCGAUACUGCCGUGCUUGAGGACUGGAGAGGAGACUGGAAUUUACGGUGUAGCGGUGAAAUGCGCAGAUAUCGGGAGGAACACCAGUAGCGAAGGCGGCUCGCUGGGCCAUUCCUGACGCUGAGACGCGAAAGCUAGGGGAGCGAACAGG
rnacentral:rRNA from 1 species